CCGAAUUAUUUGGAAUGUCUCUUCUUUUCAUUUUCGUUGACCCGGUCUUCUCCCCGAUGCAAGGAACCAUGGAGAUCGAGAUGCAAGGAACCAUGAAACCCUAACCCUUCCAAUCCCGAUUUCUUCAUAAUUUCUGCAAAUUCUUUGAAACCCUAAUUCUACCCAUCCCGAUUUCUUCAAAUAUUAACAACUUCAUAACUUAAGAAACCCUAAUCCUACUCAUUCCGAUUUUGUAAAAUGUUAUAAAUGUCUUGCGAUUUUACCCAAAUUUCGGCCGAACCUGAGAAUCCUAAUCCUACCAAUUUCGAUUUCAUAUUAUUAUUAAUUUAUCGCAGUUUCAACCAAACUUCGAUGUCCGGAUCAUCCGUUGUGACGCUCGAUCGAUUCAUCAGAAACCCUAACGUUUAAACUUCAAUCUGAUAUCCUCUUAAAUGGAUUAAUGUUGGGUACUGCAAAUCACGAAGAUCAAUUCAUCCGAAAACCCUAAUCUGGUAAUUGAUCGUGAAUGUCUCGAGGAAUUAAUAUAAUUUCGCGCCUAUUUCUCUCUCUUGUCCAUAAUCAAUCUUUUCUUUACGCGCGAAAUAUGGAACUUGAAUCACGGAACUCCUCAAUCCGAUUUUUCUCUGUCUCGAAACAAACUUCAGAGGAUCUUUCGAUCUCCACAUUUCUGAGUCGCAACAGCAGCAUCGUUACUUCAUCAGCCGAGGUGUACAAAUCUCGAUGCGUCGUCACCGAUUAAAUCUCUGCAGCUUACGAUUUUAAGGAUUGAAGCUAUUCACCAACGACGUCACGAUCUGCCACCAUGUUCGGUAACGAAAAUCAAAUGGAUAUUGGUUCGGUUAUCGAUAUUACGAGUCAUUUUCUUAGCAUGAUACAAAUAAGAAAAAGGAAAGUUGACAAACGACAGAUGAAUAAGAUUCUUUGGCACAUGCUGAUUCUGUCCCUUACCUUAGGAAGCCUAAUUUCAGCAACUUGAGAAGGGAGCAUGAAGUUCUGUUCUUACAACCUUUAAAGCUGAAGCUGAUGCCAUUACUUGGUUACGAGGGCUCUCUUAUCAUGGAUGGAUUUCUUCUAUCAAGUACAUUUUGCUCCUCGUAAUGGUCCUCAUUUUGCUAUUGAAGUUAUAGAUGAGAAUUAAACAAUCCACUCCAGUUUCUAGUGGGAGGAGUCAAGUUGUCAAUUAAAUUUCUAUGGAAAGGAGCAACACUAAAAUCACUUAUUGGGAGGAAAGGAUGACAUGCUCUGGUUUAUGAUAUUGGCUCUACUAAUGCAAUAUGGGAAUGGGUAUUCUCUCAAAGAUGAACGAGGCAACAAUUCUUUGGCAUAUGCUUAUUCUGUCCCACACCGCAGGAUGUAUGGUGAAGCUAACAUGGAAGCAUAAAUUCAUCAGAAGGGAGCAUAACUUCUGCUUUUUACCACCUUUAAAGCUGAAGCUGAUGCCAUACUUGGUGACGAAAUGGGUCUCCCAGACUGCUGGUUUUUCUGGAUCCAUUGUUAACUAAGGAUGUAAUUCUGGAAAAUUGGGUGAAUUAUACUUCUGGCGGUGGAGGCAUCUUGAAUGAAGCUGAAGGCCACUUUUCGUGAGUUUCUUGAUCGCCAUAUCUCAAAAACAACCCAACCAAUCUUUUGAUCGAGCUUUCUCUGAUCUUAAUUGGGACCAAGACAGAGCUGAGUGUACAGACUUAGGGAUUGGGCUACUUUGGACUUUUCAAAACUGGUUAGAAAAUAUUCCUUCGUUAGUUGUAGUAAUGAAAAUUUAUUUUUUUUCUUGAACACUCUUCUUACCUCUCAUAAUACGUUGAGCGCAAUGUUAAAAUUUUUAAAAACCAUCCAGUGGGAAUCGUUAAAAGUUUUAACAAUUUCGUAUUGUGCAUUUUUUGACGACAUUGUUCUGCUUUAAAAGAGGAGACUUCACAAAUAGGCACCUCAUACCUUAGUCCCUUUAUGAAAGUUAUAUAUAUUCAUUAUAUUGGUUCCAUUAUCAAACAUUUUGGAGGGUGUGAGUUGAUAUGCGUAUAGAAUAGUAUGCAAUCUAAAUUUUGUUUUGUUUGAGUUUUUGGAUUCAAGGGAUGCCGAAAGUGAUUCUAUCCUUGGAGACAUGAGAGGAAAGCAAAAAUUUUUAUUACUUGGGGUAUCUUCAACUAAAUACUUCACUUUCAAGUGGAAGGAUCAGAGAUGCUAGUUAGAUUUUAUAACUGGUAACGAUGCUGUUGAGGUAAACCAUCUUAUAAUGGUAUACUGUUUCAUGUUUCAGUAAGGAAAGUUGUUGAAAGUACAUCCUAUUGUACACUUCAGGACAACAUGUUAUGAUUCAUAUUUGUUGGCAAAUAAGAUGUGAGAAUGAGUAUUUUCUCAAAGGUAUAUCUCCCUACUUAUUCUUUGAACUUAAAAUAAUUGCAUUAUCUCUUGGCUGCAUAUUUAGAAUUGUGACAAUUAUUGCAAGGAUAUUCUUUGGCAACGUAUUUUGAGAGGCACGGAUAGAGGCUUAGUGGAAGAUGCCUUUGCUAGGAGAGAAGUUCAUUUCACUCAUAUUUGCACCAUUUUAUUUGGAUCUAGGAGGGAUGAGUUAUUUGUAAACCUAAAUAGGCAGUCAUACAUGUCUUCCAGUCCAUUUUCAAACCUAGAACUAACAGAACGAAUUGUCCACCCUCUAUCGUUUGUCAUAUUCCCUCUUUAUUUACCUUGAAUAAUGUUAGCAGACAUAAGAAAGUAUAGUAGCUUGCGGAGUCAUGGUGGAUGUACUUUAAGCAGGACAAAAUCGCCUACAAUCUCUCCUCCAUCUAAUCCAAGAUGGUUACUAUUAUUGACUUUUGAGGGCUUAUUACUACCUGGAUAGAUUUCUUCAAGUCGUGGCAUAGAAGAAAUAGGCAGGAAUAACCCAUUUGAUGCCUCCAUAUCCUUUAUUGGGCCAUCUCCCUCAUUUCGCCACCAACAAUCAAUUAGUGCUCCCCAUUUGAUGCCUCUACUUCCUUUAUUCUCCAUUAUUUUUUAUUGUUUAUUUCUUUUUCUUUUUUCUCAAGUAUUAUUUUGGUAUCUACAGCUUAACAGAGUUAAACACUCCAGUUCCUAGUUGGAGGAGUCAAGUCGUCAAUUGAAUUUCUUCUGGAACCAUUAAGCCUGCUGAAGAAGCAACACUGAAAUCACUUAUUGGGAGGAAAGUGAGAACAAAAUGACCCAUGUCGCUGUUGAGGGAUGACAUGCUCUGGUUUAUGAUUUUGGCUCUACUAACGAGAUAUGGGAAGGUAUUAUCCCAAGGUUGACUUUAUGGGACCGUAGUUGGGAUUGCUGCAAGAAUCAUUAUGGCUGCGAGGCCUUUUUUUCUUGACUCCAAUGUUUGAGUACCCCUCAGGUUUAUCUUCAUGUUAUAACUGUUCUCCCAUGCUCUUACUCUUAUUUAAACUUUAUUGAGAUAUAAGUUAGGGACAACAUCUCCAAUUAGUAUGAGUUUUUUCGGUUUUUGGGUGAUACCAAAAGCAAAGCUAUGAGUGUUAUGCCCAAAUUAGACAAUAUCAUACCAAUAUCAAUGUAGA